rnacentral:rRNA from 1 species
UACGUAGGCAGCAAGCGUUGUUCGGAGUUACUGGGCGUAAAGGGUGUGUAGGCGGUCUUCUAAGUCUGGUGUGAAAUCUCCCGGCUCAACUGGGAGGGUGCGCCGAAAACUGGAAGGCUAGAGUGCGGGAUGGGAGAGUGGAAUUCCUGGUGUAGCGGUGAAAUGCGUAGAUAUCAGGAGGAACACCUGUGGUGUAGACGGCUCUCUGGACCGCAACCGACGCUGAGACACGAAAGCGUGGGUAGCAAACAGG